UCAACCUCAAUUUAUCUAACUAUUUUUAUCCCUUAAACUAACAUCAUAAAUAACUCUGGUUAAAAAUAGGUCACAUGCAGCUUACAUGAUGGGCAAUUAUGCCAUUUACCUUCCUCACGUAACUUCCUUUAUAAACAAAUCUCUGCCUCAUCCCACUUCAUCUUCUUCCUCAUUCUGUGACUAUAAGUCUUCUUAUCAUCAAUCAUCAUCCAUUUCAAUUUCUAGUUUUCAAUUCUUCUUCACUUUCUAAUUUAAAUUUCAACCCUUCUGAUCACCUUCUUCACUUCCUGUCCAGAUCCUUCUCACCUACUUCACUUCCUGUUCAGAUCCAUCAUGAGCUACACCAGUUGUGGCCGUUGUCCGGAUCCAGUGUUGCCGUUCAACAGAGAGACGAUGGAGAUGGUGGUCGUGAGAGGGUCAAUAAGAUAUUUUUAAUGUUUUAAUCAAAUGAAAAAGUAUUAUGUAUAAAUAGACCGGGUGAAAUGACAAAAUUACCUCUCACAUGAUGGGCAUGUUGGGGGAAACUAAUGGAAUAAGUAACCGACGUGAGACAGGUGGACGAUUUGUGUCAGUAGAACAAACAUUAGGGGUGAAAGGUGUUAAGGAUGGACUGAACCUAUUAGAGGCCUUAAACCACAUAUUCAUUGGAAAUUAUGCAUAAAGGCUUCAUAAGUGGAUUUGUAGGGCUAUUUGUCGGUUUCAUGAAAAUUUAGCUGAAAAUCAGGAAAGCAUUUGUUUGAGGCUGCAAAAGUGCAUUGUGAUGCUACUGAGCCGGAAGAUCAACAAAAUAGACAUAGACUAGAACUUGCUUGCCAAGCAACAAUAUGUGAGGAAGAGAUCGGAUUGGCUGAAGAACAUAAGAAAGUGCAGGCCAGUUAACAUAGCUUUGUUCUUGAUGUUAUCGAGUUUAUGAUCAUUUUGUGUGUGUUUAUAUAUAUAGGUAAAGAUCAAAUACAAAUAAAGUUAACGUACAAAACGUACGAACUGAAGGAAAAGACAAAAAAACGCAGUGGCAUUUUUGUAAUUAUCAGUAACUAUCAA